UACGUAGGGACCGAGCGUUGUCCGGAAUCAUUGGGCGUAAAGAGCGUGUAGGCGGCCUUUUAAGUCCUGCGUGAAAUCCUGCGGCUCAACCGCAGACGGUCGUGGGAAACUGGAAGGCUAGAGUGCGGGAGAGGAGAGUGGAAUUCCCGGUGUAGCGGUGAAAUGCGCAGAUAUCGGGAAGAACACCCGUGGCGAAGGCGGCUCUCUGGAACGCAACUGACGCUGAGACGCGAAAGCGUGGGGAGCGAACGGG
rnacentral:rRNA from 1 species